UCUUCUCCGCCGGCGACCGGCGCACGGGUGAGUAACACGUAUGCAACCUGCCCCUCGUCAGGGGGACAACCCGCCGAAAGGCGGGGCUAAACCCGCGUACAUGCCACCGGGGCAUCCCGGAGGCAGGAAAGGCUUCGGCCGGACAGGGAUGGGCAUGCGGCGCAUUAGGCAGUAGGCGGGGUAACGGCCCACCUAACCGACGAUGCGUAGGGGUUCGUUUUUUUUUUUUUUUUUUUUUUUUUUAGAGGAAGGUCCCCCACCACUGGUACUGAGACACGGACCAGACUCCUACGGAAGGCAGCAG
rnacentral:rRNA from 1 species